AAAAAAUACCAGGGAACUGUGAGGUCAGCUCAACCAAGCACUUCAACAUGCUGAGCCCCAGGGCUAGCUGGGCAUCUGGCUAGCAGGGCUUGGAUCUCCUUCCUGUGUCUUCACUACUUGUAGGAAGCUGCAUGAAAUCUCCCAGCCCCAAGACCACAAGUGUCUCAUAGGGGACACGGCACUUCCAUCACUGUGCAUAGCAGUCAGAAGAGUGACCUUUUUACAAGAUACAUUUACAAUGAGACAGGUUAACUCCUGGCAACUCUCAGCCUACCUCAAAGGAGAUGAUAAGCAUCAAGAACAUUCUCAUGGAGAUGGCUUCAAAUGUGGCAAACCAGGCACUGGGCAAAAUGUCCUCAUUUCUACAACAGACAGAAAUCUGACUAAAAAUAGGCAAGCCUUAGAUGCAGGCAGAGUCAGUGGCCAAACUCUGCCAAGACAGGACAAGCAAGUCCUCAAUAGCUCCCACCUCACAAAUAUGUCUGUCAGAUACAUUGGGACAGAAGGCCGAAGAUGAUGCUCCAAUGUCACAAAGAACUUUGGGUGGCUGUUCAGAAGAGACACCAUGACCACGGCAACUCUCAAAGGAAAAGGUUUAUUGGGGCUGGCAUACAAUUCCGUUUAUUAGCCCUUUAUCAUCAUAGUGGGAAUCACGGCAGCACACAGGCAGACAUGGCUGGAGAGGAGGAGCUGAGAGUCCUACAUCUGGAUCAGCAGGCAGAAGCAGGAGAUUGUGCCAUACUUGGCAUAGCUUGAGCAUAUAAGACCUCAAAGCCCUCCUCCUCAGUGACAUACUUCCUCCACCAAGGCCACACCCACUCCACCAAGGCCACACCCACUCCACCAAGGCCACACCUCCUCAUAGUGCUACUCCUUAUACCUAAGAGCCAAGUAUUCAAAU